rnacentral:lncRNA from 1 species
CGGUGUAAUGACACUGAAGCGAGAGUAUAGAUGGUUGUUAGAGAACAACUACCGUUGAGCAUGACCAAUACGAAAAGUCACAUGGAUGUCUACUCACUCAUUAGUGACUUUCUCGAUGCUGCAGCAGUGUGACUGAUCUUUUGACAUGAGGUGCUACAGCUGCUCGCAGUGAGGCUGCUGGAGUUUGACUAUACAUAAACAUUGACUCAAUGAGUCUUUAUAGU